rnacentral:rRNA from 1 species
CUCCUACGGGAGGCAGCAGUGGGGAAUAUUGGACAAUGGGGGCAACCCUGAUCCAGCCAUGCCGCGUGUGUGAAGAAGGCCUUUUGGUUGUAAAGCACUUUAAGCAGUGAAGAAGACUCCAUGGUUAAUACCCAUGGACGAUGACAUUAGCUGCAGAAUAAGCACCGGCUAACUCCGUGCCAGCAGCCGCGGUAAUACAGAGGGUGCAAGCGUUAAUCGGAAUUACUGGGCGUAAAGCGAGCGUAGGUGGCUUGAUAAGUCAGAUGUGAAAUCCCCGGGCUUAACCUGGGAACUGCAUCUGAUACUGUUAGGCUAGAAUAGGUGAGAGGAAGGUAGAAUUCCAGGUGUAGCGGUGAAAUGCGUAGAGAUCUGGAGGAAUACCGAUGGCGAAGGCAGCCUUCUGGCAUCAUAUUGACACUGAGGUUCGAAAGCGUGGGUAGCAAACAGGAUUAGAUACCCUGG